rnacentral:rRNA from 1 species
GUUAGGAAUAUUGGACAAUGGGCGCAAGCCUGAUCCAGCCAUGCCGCGUGAGUGAUGAAGGCCUUCGGGUUGUAAAGCUCUUUAGCCGAUGAUUAUAAUGACUGUAGUCGGAAAAUAAGCCCCGGCUAACUUCGUGCCAGCAGCCGCGGUAAUACGAAGGGGGCGAGCGUUAUUCGGAAUCACUGGGCGUAAAGCGUGCGUAGGCGGCUUUGCAAGUUGGGAGUGAAAGCCCAGGGCUCAACCCUGGAAUUGCUCUCAAAACUGCAAGGCUCGAAUUCGGGAGAGGAUAGCGGAAUUGUCAGUGUAGCAGUGAAAUGCGUAGAUAUUGACGGGAACACCAGUGGCGUAAGCGGCUAUCUGGACCGAUAUUGACGCUGAGGCACGAAAGCGUGGGGAUCAAACAGGAUUAGAUACCCGAGUAGUCC